rnacentral:rRNA from 1 species
UAGGGAAUCUUCCGCAAUGGACGCAAGUCUGACGGAGCAACGCCGCGUGAGUGAAGAAGGUUUUCGGAUCGUAAAACUCUGUUGUUAGAGAAGAACAAGUGCUAGAGUAACUGUUAGCGCCUUGACGGUAUCUAACCAGAAAGCCACGGCUAACUACGUGCCAGCAGCCGCGGUAAUACGUAGGUGGCAAGCGUUGUCCGGAUUUAUUGGGCGUAAAGCGAGCGCAGGCGGUUCCUUAAGUCUGAUGUGAAAGCCCCCGGCUCAACCGGGGAGGGUCAUUGGAAACUGGGGAACUUGAGUGCAGAAGAGGAGAGUGGAAUUCCAUGUGUAGCGGUGAAAUGCGUAGAUAUAUGGAGGAACACCAGUGGCGAAGGCGACUCUCUGGUCCGUAACUGACGCUGAGGCUCGAAAGCGUGGGUAGCAAACAGGAUUAGAUACCCUGGUAGUCCACGCCGUAAACGAUGAGUGCUAAGUGUUGGAGGGUUUCCGCCCUUCAGUGCUGCAGUUAACGCAUUAAGCACUCCGCCUGGGGAGUACGACCGCAAGGUUG